rnacentral:rRNA from 1 species
AACGUAGGUCACAAGCGUUGUCCGGAAUUAUUGGGUGUAAAGGGAGCGCAGGCGGGAAGACAAGUUGGAAGUGAAAUCCAUGGGCUCAACCCAUGAACUGCUUUCAAAACUGUUUUUCUUGAGUAGUGCAGAGGUAGGCGGAAUUCCCGGUGUAGCGGUGGAAUGCGUAGAUAUCGGGAGGAACACCAGUGGCGAAGGCGGCCUACUGGGCACCAACUGACGCUGAGGCUCGAAAGUGUGGGUAGCAAACAGG